UUGAACCUGGGCCCUAUUGUAUGCUAGGCAAGUGUUCUACGACUGCCUGCAGCCUCCGUCCUGCUUCCUCGUUUUUAGGGAGAUGAUCCUGGGCUGCCUUGCGUCAACCAGGUGGGCAGCAGGAAGAGUGGAGGCGGUGGAGGGCACUGCCACUGCUGCUGAAGAAGCAGUGAACUUCACUGACACAAGACGGAGUUUGGAAACAUCUCACUUAAGUAAAGUCUCAAGGGCUUCCUCCCUCCUUGUUUGUUUGGUUAUGCGAUCAGGAAGUGGACACAGUCUUCUCGAAUUACUCCUGCCAGACGUUAAAUUAUAUCUCGGAAAGACAACCUUUUGAUUCUUCCCCUCUGCCUUUCAUCAUUCCUGUUAUCACGACAAAGCAGAUCCAACGAGGCCGUUCUCUCACUGAAUUCCAGUGGGGCUAAAAACCAAACAAAGCUAGUUCAGAGGACAGAGGGGAGGCUGGAACAGUUCACUGCUGCUGCUGGGAUUGAGGCUCAGCCUUCUUCAGCACCCAAGUGGACCAGAUGAUGUGAGUCCCAGGUCAAGGGUACCUGAGAAACUAUUGUCCAGGCCUGGCCAGGGACAUGGUGGGAAGGAACAUGGUGACUGUUUUCUACCUCCUUGGGGUUGUUCUCUUCUUGGAAGAGAAGGAAGGGGUCAGGGUCACAUGAUAAUGGGACAAACUACCCUGUCACAUUAAAAUUGGCAAGGUUGGUGGUACUGACUAUAUACUAAGGCAUGGGGAGAAAACUUAAAAUGUGGCUUAACUAUG